GCGUAAUGUGAGAGUCAGAAUUCAUCAGCUGCCAGACUGUGCUCACAGCAGAUUGCGGAGACUCAACAAAGAGCCCAGGUGCACACAACAUGAAUCAAGCUCUUUAUACAUUUUAAUUACAGUUUCGCACAAGUGAAAGAGAGAAGCAGGA